CAGUCGCCGCGGUAAUACGGAGGGUGCAAGCGUUAAUCGGAAUUACUGGGCGUAAAGCGUGCGUAGGCGGUUCGUUAAGUCUGUUGUGAAAGCCCCGGGCUCAACCUGGGAAUGGCAAUGGAUACUGGCGAGCUAGAGUGUGUCAGAGGAUGGUGGAAUUCCCGGUGUAGCGGUGAGAUGCGUAGAGAUCGGGAGGAACAUCAGUGGCGAAGGCGGCCAUCUGGGACAACACUGACGCUGAGGCACGAAAGCGAGGGGAGCAAACAGGAUUAGAGACCCCGGUAGUCCCUGUCUCUUAUAA
rnacentral:rRNA from 1 species